GAUUAAGUUAUUAAGGGCGCACGGUGGAUGCCUUGGCACUAGAAGCCGAAGAAGGACGUUACUAACGACGAUAUGCUUUGGGGAGCUGUAAGUAAGCGUUGAUCCAGAGAUUUCCGAAUGGGGAAACCCAACAUGAGUUAUGUCAUGUUAUCGAUAUGUGAAUACAUAGCAUAUCAGAAGGCAGACCCGGAGAACUGAAACAUCUUAGUACCCGGAGGAAGAGAAAGAAAAAUCGAUUCCCUGAGUAGCGGCGAGCGAAACGGGAAGAGCCCAAACCAACAAGCUUGCUUGUUGGGGUUGUAGGACACUCUAUACGGAGUUACAAAAGUAUAUAUUAGACGAAUCAUCUGGAAAGUUGAAUCAAAGAAGGUAAUAAUCCUGUAGUCGAAAAUAUAUACUCUCUUGAGUGGAUCCUGAGUACGACGGAGCACGUGAAAUUCCGUCGGAAUCUGGGAGGACCAUCUCCUAAGGCUAAAUACUCUCUAGUGACCGAUAGUGAACCAGUACCGUGAGGGAAAGGUGAAAAGUACCCCGGAAGGGGAGUGAAAGAGAACUUGAAACCGUGUGCUUACAAGUAGUCAGAGCCCGUUAAUGGGUGAUGGCGUGCCUUUUGUAGAAUGAACCGGCGAGUUACGAUUUGAUGCAAGGUUAAGCAGUGAAUGUGGAGCCGUAGCGAAAGCGAGUCUGAAUAGGGCGUUGAGUAUUUGGUCGUAGACCCGAAACCAGGUGAUCUACCCUUGGUCAGGUUGAAGUUCAGGUAACACUGAAUGGAGGACCGAACCGACUUACGUUGAAAAGUGAGCGGAUGAACUGAGGGUAGCGGAGAAAUUCCAAUCGAACCUGGAGAUAGCUGGUUCUCUCCGAAAUAGCUUUAGGGCUAGCCUCAAGUGAUGAUUAUUGGAGGUAGAGCACUGUUUGGACGAGGGGCCCUUCUCGGGUUACCGAAUUCAGACAAACUCCGAAUGCCAAUCAAUUUAACUUGGGAGUCAGAACAUGGGUGAUAAGGUCCGUGUUCGAAAGGGAAACAGCCCAGACCACCAGCUAAGGUCCCAAAAUAUAUGUUAAGUGGAAAAGGAUGUGGCGUUGCCCAGACAACUAGGAUGUUGGCUUAGAAGCAGCCAUCAUUUAAAGAGUGCGUAAUAGCUCACUAGUCGAGUGACACUGCGCCGAAAAUGUACCGGGGCUAAACAUAUUACCGAAGCUGUGGAUUGUCCGUAGGACAAUGGUAGGAGAGCGUUCUAAGGGCGUUGAAGCAUGAUCGCAAGGACAUGUGGAGCGCUUAGAAGUGAGAAUGCCGGUGUGAGUAGCGAAAGACGGGUGAGAAUCCCGUCCACCGAUUGACUAAGGUUUCCAGAGGAAGGCUCGUCCGCUCUGGGUUAGUCGGGUCCUAAGCUGAGGCCGACAGGCGUAGGCGAUGGAUAACAGGUUGAUAUUCCUGUACCACCUAGUAUCGUUUUAAUCGAUGGGGGGACGCAGUAGGAUAGGCGAAGCGUGCUAUUGGAUUGCACGUCCAAGCAGUAAGACUGAGUGUUAGGCAAAUCCGGCACUCAUAAGGUCAAGCUGUGAUGGGGAGAGGAAAUUGUUUCCUCGAGUCGUUGAUUUCACACUGCCAAGAAAAGCCUCUAGAUAGAUAACAGGUGCCCGUACCGCAAACCGACACAGGUAGUCAAGAUGAGAAUUCUAAGGUGAGCGAGCGAACUCUCGUUAAGGAACUCGGCAAAAUGACCCCGUAACUUCGGGAGAAGGGGUGCUCUUUAGGGUUAACGCCCAGAAGAGCCGCAGUGAAUAGGCCCAAGCGACUGUUUAUCAAAAACACAGGUCUCUGCUAAACCGUAAGGUGAUGUAUAGGGGCUGACGCCUGCCCGGUGCUGGAAGGUUAAGAGGAGUAGUUAGCUUCUGCGAAGCUACGAAUCGAAGCCCCAGUAAACGGCGGCCGUAACUAUAACGGUCCUAAGGUAGCGAAAUUCCUUGUCGGGUAAGUUCCGACCCGCACGAAAGGCGUAACGAUUUGGGCACUGUCUCAACGAGAGACUCGGUGAAAUCAUAGUACCUGUGAAGAUGCAGGUUACCCGCGACAGGACGGAAAGACCCCGUGGAGCUUUACUGUAGCCUGAUAUUGAAAUUCGGCACAGCUUGUACAGGAUAGGUAGGAGCCUUUGAAACGUGAGCGCUAGCUUACGUGGAGGCAUUGGUGGGAUACUACCCUAGCUGUGUUGGCUUUCUAACCCGCACCACUUAUCGUGGUGGGAGACAGUGUCAGGUGGGCAGUUUGACUGGGGCGGUCGCCUCCUAAAAGGUAACGGAGGCGCUCAAAGGUUCCCUCAGAAUGGUUGGAAAUCAUUCAUAGAGUGUAAAGGCAUAAGGGAGCUUGACUGCGAGACUUACAAGUCGAGCAGGGUCGAAAGACGGACUUAGUGAUCCGGUGGUUCCGCAUGGAAGGGCCAUCGCUCAACGGAUAAAAGCUACCCCGGGGAUAACAGGCUUAUCUCCCCCAAGAGUUCACAUCGACGGGGAGGUUUGGCACCUCGAUGUCGGCUCAUCGCAUCCUGGGGCUGUAGUCGGUCCCAAGGGUUGGGCUGUUCGCCCAUUAAAGCGGUACGCGAGCUGGGUUCAGAACGUCGUGAGACAGUUCGGUCCCUAUCCGUCGUGGGCGUAGGAAAUUUGAGAGGAGCUGUCCUUAGUACGAGAGGACCGGGAUGGACAUACCUCUGGUGUACCAGUUGUCGUGCCAACGGCAUAGCUGGGUAGCUAUGUAUGGACGGGAUAAGUGCUGAAAGCAUCUAAGCAUGAAGCCCCCUCAAGAUGAGAUUUCCCAACUUCGGUUAUAAGAUCCCUCAAAGAUGAUGAGGUUAAUAGGUUCGAGGUGGAAGCGUGGUGACACGUGGAGCUGACGAAUACUAAUCGAUCGAAGACUUAAUCAA
rnacentral:rRNA from 1 species